rfam:Schistosoma mansoni strain Puerto Rico chromosome 2, complete genome
AUCCAUCUGACGAGUCCCAAAUAGGACGAAACGUGAUGGAU